rnacentral:rRNA from 4 species
UACGUAGGGUGCAAGCGUUAUCCGGAAUUAUUGGGCGUAAAGGGCUCGUAGGCGGUUCGUCGCGUCCGGUGUGAAAGUCCAUCGCUUAACGGUGGAUCCGCGCCGGGUACGGGCGGGCUUGAGUGCGGUAGGGGAGACUGGAAUUCCCGGUGUAACGGUGGAAUGUGUAGAUAUCGGGAAGAACACCAAUGGCGAAGGCAGGUCUCUGGGCCGUUACUGACGCUGAGGAGCGAAAGCGUGGGGAGCGAACAGG